rnacentral:tRNA from 2 species
AGGACUAUAGCUCAGCUGGUUAGAGCGCUACCUUGACAUGGUAGAGGUCAGCGGUUCGAGUCCGCUUAGUCCUACCA